rnacentral:piRNA from 1 species
UGUAAGGUUUCUUUCUUGAUGUAAAGCAG